UACUGGAAGAAUUAUGUUGAGCUAAAAACUCUUCGGGCCCUGUGUCAGCACCCAGGUUUUAACUUAGGUUCUGAACAUUGGUCUUCAAGCUUGUGCAGCAAGCACCUUACCCACCAAGCUGUCUCUCCAGACCCCAGGAAGUUUAGUCAAGCUAUGCAUGAGGUCCUGAGUUUUGAAAAAUCCAUCAGAACUUGACAAGAGCCUGCCAUGGCUUUCAUCUGAGAGCCUCUACCAGCAGCUGACUGAAACAG